UACGGAGGGUGCAAGCGUUGUCCGGAAUCAUUGGGCGUAAAGGGCGCGUAGGUGGCCUGCUAAGCGUGCGGUGAAAGUCGGGGGCUCAACCCCCGAUCGGCCGUGCGAACUGGGAGGCUUGAGCACUGUAGAGGCAGGCGGAAUUCCGGGUGUAGCGGUGGAAUGCGCAGAUAUCAGGAGGAACACCGGUGGCGAAGGCGGGUCUCUGGGCAACAACUGACGCUGAGGAGCGAAAGCGUGGGGGAGCGAACAGG
rnacentral:rRNA from 1 species